UACGUAGGGUCCGAGCGUUGUCCGGAAUUACUGGGCGUAAAGAGCUCGUAGGUGGUUUGUCGCGUUGUUCGUGAAAACUCACAGCUCAACUGUGGGCGUGCGGGCGAUACGGGCAGACUGGAGUACUGCAGGGGAGACUGGAAUUCCUGGUGUAGCGGUGGAAUGCGCAGAUAUCAGGAGGAACACCGGUGGCGAAGGCGGGGUCUCUGGGCAGUAACUGACGCUGGAGGAGCGAAAGCCGUGGGGAGCGAACAGG
rnacentral:rRNA from 1 species